rnacentral:rRNA from 1 species
CAUAGCGGAGGAAAAGAAACCAACAGGGAUUGCCUCAGUAACGGCGAGUGAAGCGGCAAAAGCUCAAAUUUGAAAUCCCCCCGGGGAGUUGUAAUUUGAAGAUUGCGUCUUGGAGGCGACCGUGUCUAUGUUCCUUGGAACAGGACGUCACAGAGGGUGAGAAUCCCGUGCGGCACGGCCCCCGGCUCCUUAUAAGGCGCUCUCGACGAGUCGAGUUGUUUGGGAAUGCAGCUCAAAGUGGGUGGUAAAUUCCAUCUAAAGCUAAAUACAGGCGAGAGACCGAUAGCGAACAAGUACAGUGAUGGAAAGAUGAAAAGCACUUUGAAAAGAGAGUGAAACAGCACGUGAAAUUGUUGAAAGGGAAGGGCAUGCCGUCAGAUUGUCAGUGUGGGUAAGAAGCGGGGUACAAAGACUGUGGAACGUGGCCCUCGGGUGUUAUAGCCGCAGUUCAUGCCCCGUCUCUUUCCGAGGCCUGCUUUGAGGACACCGACGUAAUGACGGUACGCCGCCCGUCUUGAGCAACGGACCAAA